AACAAGUUCCAGGAAGACCUGAGAAGACUAAAAAAAUGUUUAAUGUUGGUUUAACAGACAGGACAGGAGCAUUCUAAAGGCACAGUUUGACUGCCUUUGCACGGUGCACAAAAUGCAGCAUUUCCUGUCCAGGAAAACAGUUGAGAGGAGACAAACAGCUUCAGCAAAAAGUGAAGAUUACCAACUUCAUAAAGCUGAAGAUGUGUGGGAGUCAACUGCAGAGUGGAUUUGUAACAGACUCCUGGUGUCUUCAUUGGCAGGCCCAGCAUGGUGGAUCUCCAAGAUGAAAAGUCUGACAGCCUGAGACAGUCUGCUCUGCGUCUUCAGUAGGUGGGCACACUGCCCAGUGCUCAGUAAGCG